UCACCGGGUGAAAAACUACC
rnacentral:miRNA from 1 species